rnacentral:rRNA from 1 species
GCUAGCGGCAGGCUUAACACAUGCAAGUCGAGGGGUAACGAUGGUGCUUGCACCAGGCGACGACCGGCGCACGGGUGAGUAACGCGUAUGCAACCUACCUACAACAGGGGGAUAGCUUCCGGAAACGGAAAUUAAUACCCCAUAGCACCUAAAUAUCGCAUGGUAUUAAGGUUAAAACUCCGGUGGUUGUAGAUGGGCAUGCGUGACAUUAGCUAGUUGGUGAGGUAACGGCUCACCAAGGCAACGAUGUCUAGGGGGUCUAAAAGGAUGGUCCCCCACACUGGUACUGAGACACGGACCAGACUCCUACGGGAGGCAGCAGUGAGGAAUAUUGGUCAAUGGGUGAGAGCCUGAACCAGCCAUGCCGCGUGCAGGAAGACUGCCCUACGGGUUGUAAACUGCUUUUGUAUAGGAAGAAAAAAAUCUACGUGUAGAUAACUGACGGUACUAUACGAAUAAGCACCGGCUAACUCCGUGCCAGCAGCCGCGGUAAUACGGAGGGUGCAAGCGUUAUCCGGAUUUAUUAGGUUUAAAGGGUGUGUAGGCGGACUUUUAAGUCAGUGGUGAAAUCCCGGGGCUCAACUCCGGAACUGCCAUUGAUACUGGAUGUCUUGAGUACAGUUGAAGUA